rnacentral:rRNA from 1 species
GAUGAACGCUGGCGGCGUGCCUAAUACAUGCAAGUCGAGCGAAGCGGGGACGGGUGAGUAACACGUGGAUAACCUCCUAUAAGACUGGGAUAACUUCGGGAAACCGGCGCUCAACCGGAUACUUAGAGAUGGAUCCGCGCUGCAUUAGCUAGGUGGUAAGGUAACGGCUUACCAAGGCAACGCUGCAUAGCCGACCUGAUAGGGGGAUCGGCCACACUGGAACGAGGACACGGUCCAGACGCCUACGGGAGGCAGCAGGAGGUAAUCUUCCGCAAUGGGCGAAAGCCUGACGGAGCAACGCCGCGUGAGUGAUGAAGGUCUUCGGAUCGUAAAACUCUGUUAUUAGGGAAGCGGUACCUAAUCAGAAAGCCACGGCUAACUACGUGCCAGCAGCCGCGGUAAUUC